AGAGUUUGAUCAUGGCUCAGGACGAACGCUGGCGGCACGCUUAACACAUGCAAGUCGAACGAGAGAAGAGGAGCUUGCUUUUCUGAUCUAGUGGCGGACGGGUGAGUAACACGUGAGCAAUCUGCCUUUCAGAGGGGGAUACCGAUUGGAAACGAUCGUUAAAACCGCAUAACAUAAUUGAACCGCAUGAUUUGAUUAUCAAAGAUUUAUCGCUGAAAGAUGAGCUCGCGUCUGAUUAGCUAGUUGGUAAGGUAACGGCUUACCAAGGCGACGAUCAGUAGCCGGACUGAGAGGUUGAUCGGCCACAUUGGGACUGAGACACGGCCCAGACUCCUACGGGAGGCAGCAGUGGGGAAUAUUGCACAAUGGAGGAAACUCUGAUGCAGCGAUGCCGCGUGAGGGAAGAAGGUUUUAGGAUUGUAAACCUCUGUCUUCAGGGACGAAAAAAGACGGUACCUGAGGAGGAAGCUCCGGCUAACUACGUGCCAGCAGCCGCGGUAAUACGUAGGGAGCGAGCGUUGUCCGGAAUUACUGGGUGUAAAGGGAGCGUAGGCGGGAUCGCAAGUCAGAUGUGAAAACUAUGGGCUUAACCCAUAAACUGCAUUUGAAACUGUGGUUCUUGAGUGAAGUAGAGGUAAGCGGAAUUCCUAGUGUAGCGGUGAAAUGCGUAGAUAUUAGGAGGAACAUCAGUGGCGAAGGCGGCUUACUGGGCUUUAACUGACGCUGAGGCUCGAAAGCGUGGGGAGCAAACAGGAUUAGAUACCCUGGUAGUCCACGCCGUAAACGAUGAUUACUAGGUGUGGGGGGACUGACCCCUUCCGUGCCGCAGCAAACGCAAUAAGUAAUCCACCUGGGGAGUACGACCGCAAGGUUGAAACUCAAAGGAAUUGACGGGGGCCCGCACAAGCAGUGGAGUAUGUGGAUUAAUUCGAAGCAACGCGAAGAACCUUACCAGGUCUUGACAUCGUAUGCAUAGCUCAGAGAUGAGUGAAAUCUCUUCGGAGGCAUAUAGACAGGUGGUGCAUGGUUGUCGUCAGCUCGUGUCGUGAGAUGUUGGGUUAAGUCCCGCAACGAGCGCAACCCUUACUGUUAGUUGCUACGCAAGAGCACUCUAGCAGGACUGCCGUUGACAAAACGGAGGAAGGUGGGGAUGACGUCAAAUCAUCAUGCCCCUUAUGACCUGGGCCUCACACGUACUACAAUGGCUGUCAACAGAGGGAAGCAAAGCCGCGAGGUGGAGCGAACCCCUAAAAGCAGUCUUAGUUCGGAUUGUAGGCUGCAACCCGCCUACAUGAAGUCGGAAUUGCUAGUAAUCGCAGAUCAGCAUGCUGCGGUGAAUACGUUCCCGGGCCUUGUACACACCGCCCGUCACGCCAUGGGAGUCGGUAACACCCGAAGCCUGUAGUCUAACCGCAAGGAGGACGCAGUCGAAGGUGGGAUUGAUGACUGGGGUGAAGUCGUAACAAGGUA
rnacentral:rRNA from 1 species